GACUCGAAGAACACCUAGGGCCAAAACGGACGUCGAGGAAGGUCAGAGCUCUCAAAAAGAAGACGGGCACCAACAGGACUUUCAGGCAGAAUGAAACUCCCAGAGGAAGAAGGGCGGGUUUAAAUAGACCCUGGGAUCCGGCAUUAUAGUGAUUGCGGAUCUCCCUAGGCCGACCCAUGUUCGCCAUGUGUCCCACUCACCACAGCAGGCGGCUAAAAGCGGCUGACAGCUGGCA
rnacentral:lncRNA from 1 species